GACGAACGCUGGCGGCGUGCUUAACACAUGCAAGUCGAACGGUGACGAGGAGCUUGCUCCUCCGAUCAGUGGCGAACGGGUGAGUAACACGUGAGCAACCUGCCCCAGACUCUGGGAUAACAGUUGGAAACAGCUGCUAAUACCGGAUACGAGACGGAGAGGCAUCUCUACCGUCUGGAAAGUUUUUCGGUCUGGGAUGGACUCGCGGCCCAUCAGCUAGUUGGUGAGGUAAAUGGCUCACCAAGGCGACGACGGGUAGCCGGCCUGAGAGGGCGACCGGCCACACUGGGACUGAGUCACGGCCCAGACUCCUACGGGAGGCAGCAGUGGGGAAUAUUGCACAAAUGGGCGAAAGCCUGAUGCAGCGACGCCGCGUGAGGGAUGACGGCCUCGGUUGUAACGUACUUCUA
rnacentral:rRNA from 1 species